UACGAGCAAAAACAAAACAGCCACAAAACAUGUUUGCCACCAGCAUGGGCCUGGGACCUGUAUGUCGUCCCAGGGCUGCCAGUUUGCAGUCUCCAGUUUAGAGCUGUUUUCUUGAGUUGAUUUCGUGUGAGAUCUUGCUGAGAACAGCCAUUCCCAUGUCUGGAGAAUGCUUUGCUGCACCUGGAACUUUUAAACCAGCCGACAAGGAAGCUACAGAGACAGCGCUUAUUUAAAUAAUCAAUUUGGUAGUAAAGGAGUUUAAAUCUGAACGCAGCCCCAGUCCUCAGAGAUGAGGAAGAACAGGUGUGGUCCAGUCUUCCCCUCUCGGAAGUCCUGCAUUUCAUCAGCUGCCUUUGGAGAGGUGCAGAUAAACCAGGGGCAGUCAUUCUCGGAGCCAUCCUACUUAUCUUGAUAUGCAACAGUGGCGGGAGCUCAGAGUCAAGAUCUGGACACUCUCCCAGCCCAUAACUUGCUCUGGAAUCUCAAGCAGAUGCUUCCUGGACAGCAAAGAGCCCCAGACAUGAAGGCUUCCGCUACCAUCUCAGCUCUGCACUUCAGCUGUGUGACAGAGCCAGCCUCUCAACCUCUCUGAGCCUGUUUCCUCAUCUGUAAAAUAGCAUCAUGAACUUCUGUCUCAUAGAGAGAUUGUGAGAACUGGUGAAGGGGUUUCACGACAGUGCCUGACAUACCUCCAGCUGCCUUAGACUCUUCCCCAAGCACAGGGGCUGGGGGCUGGGGCAAUUUCUGCUCCUCAGGAAAUGCCAGCACCCCCCUCCACAGCCAGGUGGACCACAGAAGACCCCCUUCUGCCAUCUGUGGACCAAGAGAACAAAGGGAAACCCAGAUUCUGUGUGCUAUGGGGUUUUCUUCACUCCAUACAGUCCAAACCAGGAAACUGCAAAGAGACCAAUGGCUGGAAGACCAGGUUACAUUUGAAAUAAUCGGAGUCCUUGAAGUUCUGCACUGGAGCAUGACCGGGUCCAGUCUCCGGGUCCACACCAGCCCUCUCCUCUCCUGACACACUGGGCCCCACGCCCACACUCAUGGACUCUCCUCUCCCUGUGAAUUCCAGCUGCAUCCUUACGCUUCCCUCCCCUCUCUUCCCCCCCUCCCUGCAGACAGCCACCCUUUGGCCAUUCCUCCCUCACCAAUGAUGAGGUCUGUCCCCAUGGAAGAGAUUAGUGAAAAAAGGCAUGCUGAUCUUAGAGGUGGAUUCAGAGCUGUUUGGGUAGGAAAUUCCAGGGUCCUGGGUGCCCCGAGUGUGUUCUAAAACAGGGCUGGUGGGGUGCAUAGACCUCAGGUAGCCACAUGCCUCAUUGUCUUGCAAAUUCCUCACCCCAUGGAGGACGGGAAGGUGCACACGGGCUCGAAUCAGGCCUUCUAAAGCACCAGACCCAGGGCAAGGUCUCCUCUCACUCAGUUCCAGGGGCAGGACAGGGACACGUUUGGACAUCGAUCUACAAGCAGCCUAACCACUGACUGGCCAGUGAGCUAGGAGGUGGAGCUCUACGCAGAGAGGAUGAGUUAGCAGAUUGAACUGGCCAUGCUCUCUACCACCUUGCCGUUCUCCCGUCAAGACGUGGAGUCUCGUUCUCCUCCCCAAAACCUAGAUGGGACUUUGUGGUUGCCAUGGUGAACAGAAGGCAGUAGAAGUGGCGCUGAGUAACUUCUGAGACUAGCUCAUAACAUGUGAUCGGGCUCCUGCCUGGGGCUCAUUCUCUGGGAGAUCACUCACUGUGGCAACCCAGCCACCAUGAUGUGAGGAAGCCCAGGCCACUGGAGAGACCAUCGUUUUAAAAUACGGGUUUUACCAAUGUUCAUAGCAGUAUUAUUUACAAUUGCCAAGGUAUGGAAGCAACCUAAGUGUCCAGCAACAGAUGAAAUGGAUAAAGGAGACGUAGUAAGUAUAUAUACAAUGGAACACUACCCAGCCAUAAAAAAGAAUGAAAUUUUGCCAUUUGCAGCAACAUGGAUGGACUUGGAAGGUCUCAGCCUACAGCUGUCAUCAGUUGCAACGUGAGGAAAGCGCAAUUCAGAAGAUUCAGGCCCCCUCCUUCAAACAGCCCAGCUGACACCAUGUAAGGCAGAGACAAGCGACACCUGUCAAGUCCUGCCCAAAUUGUGAUGUCAGGAAGCCGAAGAAGGUGAAGGAUGCAAGUAAGGGAAAAUCGUUACUGGAGUGUCCUGGGGAAAUCUUUACUACAGGAAAGGCCAGACAGGAGAUAUUCUGUGUAUGAAAACACUCCCUUCGGCCCUAAGCUCUGAGCUCCUUCCCAGCCUCAGCUAAGUGAGCGAAACCUCUGGAAGUCUCCCACCCAAAAGGAAUCCAGACCUCAGGUGAGUCCACAUGCUCCCAUCACCUUGCCCUGGCUAAUGGGAGG